UUAACCUAUGGCUGAUCCUCCCAGGCCAGGGAAACCCACACCGCGAGGUCCGAGGUCCGGAAAGCAGUGCGGGGCCGAGACCCCGCGCGGUGGCCGUGUGCUGCAAGGGGAACCGCUGAAAAGAUGACUCGACGCCUCCGAGGACGCAAUACCCGCUAGGAACUCGGCCCCAUCCCCGCCCCCAGGGCCAGCUCUCGGGAGCGGCUGCUGCUCCAUCCAGCAGGCGGGAAAAGCCGGGCCACUCCGCGCGAGGCGACACAGGGAGAGGCAGAGCCCGGAGGGGCACAGCCCGAGUUAGCGACAGAUGAUAAAUCACCUGCCUCUUCCGCUCCGCCGAGCCGACACUGUCAAACUGUCGUGUACUUCUAAGAAGAUGGAGACUCUAGACCAUAUAAUUCGGGGAGGUCUUCAAAGAAGCAAACUAACAACAGGAUCUUCUUAGAACAGGAAAGAAAGGACAAGCAGGAGGGAUGAUGUCCACAUUCCAGCCUUCUGUUGCUACUGCUAACUAUCCAGAGGAGGAAACUGGUAGAAAGCUGAUACUUCAGUUGCCCUGAAGCAGUGAGAAAACUAAUCAGUUGGGACAUCCGCCAGGAAGAAAAAGUGUAGAUUGGCACCAAUCAGCCAGGUCAAAGUAGCCUCUGCUCUGUGAACAUCUCUGCCUGUGCAGAUUCCGCCUCUCUGGGGGUCUCUUUUCCCAGUCUAAUUUACAAACUUGGUGACAAAAGGGUUAACUGUUUGGGGUCAGCAUAAUACAGAGCAGUGGAAAAGCAAAUACAGAAAAUAGGGACAAGAUGUUCUACACAUACACAAUAGUGUCAUUUCUUUUGAGGAAACACAGGAAUCAAAUAGCAGAGAUUUUUGUCUCUUAGGAUUCUGAGGGAAAACAAAAUGACCUUGGCAUCUAGAAAAUAAGCUUCAGAGUGGAAGAUUGAAGUUAUUACCUACAAUAAGAUUAGAUCCUACCCUGUGGGAACACAUUUGUGUUCUGCAGUCAAUUUGGGAUUAACCUUUUCAGGGCUGCUGGAGAAUUAAUUGGUUCUUAACUUCUCUCACUGGGCUGCCUUAGGCUCUAGAGGUUUCCAUGUUUUCCAAAGGAGCUUUGUGCACAGCAGCCAGCUGUGCAACUGUGGCUUAUUUACCCAUGCUUCUGGCUUAGAUCCCUCUGAGUGUGAGAACUGGAGAAGGCAGCCCCUCCCAGAGAGCACACAAGCCCAGCCCAGCUCAGGAGGACUUAGUGUGGGUGGGGUCCAUCCAGUAAUCAAAAUGGCAGCCCAGAAAAGGACUGAACUGGGAAACCACCCCCACAUGUGAUUUCUCCUCCGCUGUACUUCUUUUCUUCAAAUGCUCCUGCUUUUGUACACACUACCACAGAUGGAGGCAGUUGUGCAAAAUUCCAAAAGCCCAAGAAUUCAAGCUGGCACUGCUUCAGGAAUUGUGGAUUACUUAAAGAAGUGUACAACUUAGUUAAAAAAGAUAUUCACCAAAAUGUUAACAGUGGUUAUUCCUGUGGAGUGGGAUUACUACAGAUUUUUAUUUUCUCUUUAUUUUCCUAAACUUUUCAUCACUACUAUGUAUUACUUGUGUAGAUUUUUCAAAUUUCCUUUUUAAAAAGGUAACCUUCCUAGAUGAGUCAUUUUCACUUCCCUGGCAGUCUAUCUCCAAGCUGUAGAACUAUAAAUCACAAAUGUACAGUGUACAGAAAACAACCAAGUAGGGAGCCUUCCACUUCCAGAAUUAUUGUUCUUUAAAAUCAUGGAGAUAAGGCAAAGGAUGAAGAUAUGAACAGACUUUAUCAGCAGGACCUUGGCAAGAAAGUAAUUCAGUCUGGAUAGUUCAGAUGAACAGAGUUUGUGAAAAGACUAUUUAUAGUGAGUGGUCAGGGUACAAGAAGAAAUAAGGGCUAAUGAAGUAUAAGUGGGAAACCAUUACCAAGCCAAGAGCCUUGUCCCUUGGCUGAAGGGGAAAAUGGGGGAGAGAUUCAUUAAAAUGUUUUAUAUCUUGAUCUGAAUGAUGGUUACAUGAGUGUAUGCACAUGUUACAAUGCAUUGAACUGUACACUAAGGUUUGUGCAUUUUAUUGUAUGUGCCUCAAUAAAA